rnacentral:rRNA from 1 species
UAGGGAAUCUUCCGCAAUGGACGAAAGUCUGACGGAGCAACGCCGCGUGAGUGAAGAAGGUUUUCGGAUCGUAAAACUCUGUUGUCAGAGAAGAACGAGUUGGAGAGUAACUGCUCCAGCCUUGACGGUAUCUGACCAGAAAGCCACGGCUAACUACGUGCCAGCAGCCGCGGUAAUACGUAGGUGGCAAGCGUUGUCCGGAUUUAUUGGGCGUAAAGCGAGCGCAGGCGGUUCCUUAAGUCUGAUGUGAAAGCCCACGGCUCAACCGUGGAAGGUCAUUGGAAACUGGGGAACUUGAGUGCAGAAGAGGAGAGUGGAAUUCCAUGUGUAGCGGUGAAAUGCGUAGAUAUAUGGAGGAACACCAGUGGCGAAGGCGACUCUCUGGUCUGUAACUGACGCUGAGGCUCGAAAGCGUGGGGAGCAAACAGGA